rnacentral:rRNA from 1 species
CCUAAUACAUGCAAGUCGAGCGAACGGACGAGAAGCUUGCUUCUCUGAUGUUAGCGGCGGACGGGUGAGUAACACGUGGAUAACCUACCUAUAAGACUGGGAUAACUUCGGGAAACCGGAGCUAAUACCGGAUAAUAUUUUGAACCGCAUGGUUCAAAAGUGAAAGACGGUCUUGCUGUCACUUAUAGAUGGAUCCGCGCUGCAUUAGCUAGUUGGUAAGGUAACGGCUUACCAAGGCAACGAUGCAUAGCCGACCUGAGAGGGUGAUCGGCCACACUGGAACUGAGACACGGUCCAGACUCCUACGGGAGGCAGCAGUAGGGAAUCUUCCGCAAUGGGCGAAAGCCUGACGGAGCAACGCCGCGUGAGUGAUGAAGGUCUUCGGAUCGUAAAACUCUGUUAUUAGGGAAGAACAUAUGUGUAAGUAACUGUGCACAUCUUGACGGUACCUAAUCAGAAAGCCACGGCUAACUACGUGCCAGCAGCCGCGGUAAUACGUAGGUGGCAAGCGUUAUCCGGAAUUAUUGGGCGUAAAGCGCGCGUAGGCGGUUUUUUAAGUCUGAUGUGAAAGCCCACGGCUCAACCGUGGAGGGUCAUUGGAAACUGGAAAACUUGAGUGCAGAAGAGGAAAGUGGAAUUCCAUGUGUAGCGGUGAAAUGCGCAGAGAUAUGGAGGAACACCAGUGGCGAAGGCGACUUUCUGGUCUGUAACUGACGCUGAUGUGCGAAAGCGUGGGGAUCAAACAGGAUUAGAUACCCUGGUAGUCCACGCCGUAAACGAUGAGUGCUAAGUGUUAGGGGGUUUCCGCCCCUUAGUGCUGCAGCUAACGCAUUAAGCACUCCGCCUGGGGAGUACGACCGCAAGGUUGAAACUCAAAGGAAUUGACGGGGACCCGCACAAGCGGUGGAGCAUGUGGUUUAAUUCGAAGCAACGCGAAGAACCUUACCAAAUCUUGACAUCCUUUGACAACUCUAGAGAUAGAGCCUUCCCCUUCGGGGGACAAAGUGACAGGUGGUGCAUGGUUGUCGUCAGCUCGUGUCGUGAGAUGUUGGGUUAAGUCCCGCAACGAGCGCAACCCUUAAGCUUAGUUGCCAUCAUUAAGUUGGGCACUCUAAGUUGACUGCCGGUGACAAACCGGAGGAAGGUGGGGAUGACGUCAAAUCAUCAUGCCCCUUAUGAUUUGGGCUACACACGUGCUACAAUGGACAAUACAAAGGGCAGCGAAACCGCGAGGUCAAGCAAAUCCCAUAAAGUUGUUCUCAGUUCGGAUUGUAGUCUGCAACUCGACUACAUGAAGCUGGAAUCGCUAGUAAUCGUAGAUCAGCAUGCUACGGUGAAUACGUUCCCGGGUCUUGUACACACCGCCCGUCACACCACGAGAGUUUGUAACACCCGAAGCCGGUGGAGUAACCUUUUAGGAGCUAGCCGUCGAAGGUGGACAAAAGGG